rnacentral:rRNA from 1 species
ACGGUAACAGGAAGAAGCUUGCUGCUUUGCUGACGAGUGGCGGACGGGUGAGUAAUGUCUGGGAAACUGCCUGAUGGAGGGGGAUAACUACUGGAAACGGUAGCUAAUACCGCAUAACGUCGCAAGACCAAAGAGGGGGACCUUCGGGCCUCUUGCCAUCGGAUGUGCCCAGAUGGGAUUAGCUAGUAGGUGGGGUAACGGCUCACCUAGGCGACGAUCCCUAGCUGGUCUGAGAGGAUGACCAGCCACACUGGAACUGAGACACGGUCCAGACUCCUACGGGAGGCAGCAGUGGGGAAUAUUGCACAAUGGGCGCAAGCCUGAUGCAGCCAUGCCGCGUGUAUGAAGAAGGCCUUCGGGUUGUAAAGUACUUUCAGCGGGGAGGAAGGGAGUAAAGUUAAUACCUUUGCUCAUUGACGUUACCCGCAGAAGAAGCACCGGCUAACUCCGUGCCAGCAGCCGCGGUAAUACGGAGGGUGCAAGCGUUAAUCGGAAUUACUGGGCGUAAAGCGCACGCAGGCGGUUUGUUAAGUCAGAUGUGAAAU